CCCCGCUUUCCCAUCGUUUGAUAUAAUACACAGAUAUCAUUCCCUUAGUUUAUGGACCACCCUUGUAAAAUGCCUGUAAAAUGUCCAGAAAUGUCCACAAAAUGUCCACUGAGUUCAUUUAGUCCAUGACUUUGGGCUCCAUCUGUUACGGUGGUCACUCAGGACCGGAGAGGUGGUGUGUUGGGUGGAGUUAUUGGGCACCAAAGCCAGCUCAGGUCGGGUCACUGCUGCACUUCUUGCUGCAACUCACCCACAG